GGAAGUUUAGCUCAGUUGGUUUAGAGCGUCUGCCUUACAAGCAGAAGGUCGAUGGUUCGAAUCCACCAACUUCCA
rnacentral:tRNA from 1 species